rnacentral:rRNA from 1 species
AUUGAACGCUGGCGGCAUGCCUUACACAUGCAAGUCGAACGGCAGCACGGGAGCUUGCUCCUGGUGGCGAGUGGCGAACGGGUGAGUAAUACAUCGGAACGUACCCAGGAGUGGGGGAUAACGUAGCGAAAGUUACGCUAAUACCGCAUAUUUUGUGAGCAUGAAAGCGGGGGAGCGAAAGACCUCGCGUUCUUGGAGUGGACGAUGUCGGAUUAGCUAGUUGGUGAGGUAAAAGCUCACCAAGGCGACGAUCCGUAGCAGGUCUGAGAGGAUGAUCUGCCAAACUGGGACUGAGACACGGCCCAGACUCCUACGGGAGGCAGCAGUGGGGAAUUUUGGACAAUGGGGGCAACCCUGAUCCAGCCAUGCCGCGUGAGUGAAGAAGGCCUUCGGGUUGUAAAGCUCUUUCGGCGGGGAAGAAAUGGCAACGGCUAAUAUCCGUUGUUGAUGACGGUACCCGCAUAAGAAGCACCGGCUAACUACGUGCCAGCAGCCGCCGUAAAAC